rnacentral:rRNA from 1 species
UACGGGGGGGGCAAGCGUUGUUCGGAAUUACUGGGCGUAAAGGGUUCGUAGGUGGCCAACUAAGUCAGACGUGAAAUCCCUCAGCUUAACUGGGGAACUGCGUCUGAGACUGGAUGGCUUGAGUGCAGGAGAGGAACGCGGAAUUCCAGGUGUAGCGGUGAAAUGCGUAGAUAUCAAGCAGAACACCUGCGGCGAAGGCGGCCUUCUGGACGAUGACUGACGCUGAGACGCGAAAGCGUGGGGAGCAAACAGG